AUUAAAUCUUAAAAAAACAGCAAAAUCAGAAGGAAAACAAUUAGUUAACGGUAUGCUAAGAUGAUACACUCACUCUUAUCUAUUGUAUGUAGUGCUUGCAUAAUCAGUCAUGUGCAUGCAUGCUACUUUAAAUGCGUUUCAGUUAAUUCUGGUGAGAUGAUCUACUGUGGGCCGCCAACUUCUUAUGGGAGGGGGUGUUGUUUGACAAAAUUAGUUAAUGCUGGUGAGAUGAGGUGCAAAUGCAGAAUGAUGUGGAAGAUAAAUUCUGGUGUUACAGUCACAUCUAAUUGUAUAUAUAGGCUUGAUAUUUUUUGACGCAUUCAAAUGUACUUUCAAGGAGCAGUGAGACCCAUUUGAAGCUGGUCAAUGUACUUUCAGGGAGCAGUGAGACAUUUGAAGUUUUUUGGCACACAAGAAAGCUGGGUAGAUGUCGCGGCUGGGGUGUUCUCUUCUCCCUGCGGUGUUAGGCUCUGUUACGGAUGAGUCGAGAACGCCCCACAGCCUCCACUGCACCUCCAUUGGAGCUGUCGAGAGCAUCUCAGAUACCGAAGAAAUAAAUCAAUGCCAUGCAGAUCAUGCAUCCCGUCUGGGUGUCCAAGAGCGAAAGUCGGAUGUCAAUGCAUUCAAUGUAUUUGAAACAAUGGAUGUAAGACAGAAUCAAUUAGUGGAUAUUUCAACAAUGGAUGUAAGACAGAACCAAUGCGCGGAUCUGUUGAAAGUAUGUACUGUAAGCACAACUGUUGUAAUACCUACCCAGAAACUGGGAAACUGGGAAUCGGCGGCGCCUCCAAAACGGGAACGCGGCGCCGUCGGUUUCUGUGCGUGAUCGGCGGCGCCUCCAAAACGGCAACGUGGUGCCGUCCGCUGAAGGGCGGCUGAGGCGAAACUUAGGAUCGGCAGCGGCAAAGGCAAUGAUGUCCGGAGGGGGCGAGGGGAUGGAUCGGGCGAGCGAAGGAGAGGUUGGCGGCGGCGGCAGAAGAUCAGAUGUGGGCACGACGCAUCGAUCGGGCGUUUUUUUUGGCGUUAGAGGUGUGACGUAACGUGGGCGGGGCGUUAGACGAAGAAAAACCAGCGAAGGGAGGGAUGGUGGGAGGAUAGACGAUAAAAAACCAGUGAAAAAAACCGGAAGACUAUUCACCAACUGCUAUAUUAG